rnacentral:rRNA from 1 species
UGGGGAAUUUUCCGCAAUGGGCGAAAGCCUGACGGAGCAAGACCGCGUGAGGGAAGAAGGCCUGUGGGUUGUAAACCUCUUUUGAUAGGGAAGAAGUUCUGACGGUACCUAUCGAAUAAGCCUCGGCUAACUCCGUGCCAGCAGCCGCGGUAAUACGGAGGAGGCAAGCGUUAUCCGGAAUUAUUGGGCGUAAAGCGUCCGUAGGUGGUUGUUCAAGUCUUCUGUCAAAGCGCGGAGCUUAACUCCGUAAAGGCAGAGGAAACUGAGCGGCUAGAGUGCGAUAGGGGGCAGAGGGAAUUCCCAGUGUAGCGGUGAAAUGCGUAGAUAUUGGGAAGAACACCGGUGGCGAAAGCGCUCUGCUGGGUCUGCACUGACACUGAGGGACGAAAGCUAGGGGAGCGAAAGGGAUUAGAUACCCCUGUAGUCCUAGCUGUAAACGAUGGGUACUAGGCGUUGUCCGUAUCGACCCGGGCAGUGCCGUAGCUAACGCGUUAAGUACCCCG